rnacentral:rRNA from 1 species
CAGCAGCCGCGGUAAUGCGAAGGGGGCUAGCGUUGCUCGGAAUGACUGGGCGUAAAGGGCGCGUAGGCGGUUUUGACAGUCAGAUGUGAAAUUCCUGGGCUUAACCUGGGGGCUGCAUUUGAGACGUCAAGACUAGAGUGUGAGAGAGGGUUGUGGAAUUCCCAGUGUAGAGGUGAAAUUCGUAGAUAUUGGGAAGAACACCGGUGGCGAAGGCGGCAACCUGGCUCAUUACUGACGCUGAGGCACGAAAGCGUGGGGAGCAAACAGGAUUAGAUACCCCCGUAGUCCCUGUCUCUUAUAC